CGGACCGAUGAUGACAGUUGGUGGAGUAUGAGUCUCGGACAGACGAUGAUCCGACGUGUCUGAAGCCCUGAGGUCCGG